rnacentral:tRNA from 1 species
UGAGGUAUAGCUCAAUGAUAGAGUGCUUGCCUCGCAUGUGAAAGCUCUGAGUUCAAUCUUAGUACUGCAA